rnacentral:rRNA from 1 species
UGCAGUCGAACGGUAACAGAACUAGCUUGCUAGUUGCUGACGAGUGGCGGACGGGUGAGUAAUACUUAGGGAUCUGCCUCUGUGUGGGGGAUAACUAUUGGAAACGAUAGCUAAUACCGCAUAACGUCUACGGACCAAAGGGGGGGAUCUUCGGACCUCUCGCCAUUUGAUUAGCCCAAGUGAGAUUAGCUAGUUGGUAAGGUAAUGGCUUACCAAGGCGACGAUCUCUAGCUGGUUUGAGAGGAUGAUCAGCCACACUGGGACUGAGACACGGCCCAGACUCCUACGGGAGGCAGCAGUGGGGAAUAUUGCACAAUGGGCGAAAGCCUGAUGCAGCCAUGCCGCGUGUGUGAAGAAGGCCUUCGGGUUGUAAAGCACUUUCAGUUGUGAGGAAAGGGGUGUAGUUAAUAGCUGCGCUCUGUGACGUUAACAACAGAAGAAGCACCGGCUAACUUCGUGCCAGCAGCCGCGGUAAUACGAGGGGUGCAAGCGUUAAUCGGAAUUACUGGGCGUAAAGCGUUCGUAGGCGGUUUGUUAA